rnacentral:rRNA from 1 species
GGUUAAGCGACUAAGCGUACACGGUGGAUGCCCUGGCAGUCAGAGGCGAUGAAGGACGUGCUAAUCUGCGAAAAGCGUCGGUAAGGUGAUAUGAACCGUUAUAACCGGCGAUGUCCGAAUGGGGAAACCCAGUGUGUUUCGACACACUAUCAUUAACUGAAUCCAUAGGUUAAUGAGGCGAACCGGGGGAACUGAAACAUCUAAGUACCCCGAGGAAAAGAAAUCAACCGAGAUUCCCCCAGUAGCGGCGAGCGAACGGGGAGGAGCCCAGAGCCUGAAUCAGUGUGUGUGUUAGUGGAAGCGUCUGGAAAGGCGCGCGAUACAGGGUGACAGCCCCGUACACAAAAAUGCACAUGCUGUGAGCUCGAUGAGUAGGGCGGGACACGUGGUAUCCUGUCUGAAUAUGGGGGGACCAUCCUCCAAGGCUAAAUACUCCUGACUGACCGAUAGUGAACCAGUACCGUGAGGGAAAGGCGAAAAGAACCCCGGCGAGGGGAGUGAAAAAGAACCUGAAACCGUGUACGUACAAGCAGUGGGAGCCCUGAUUUAUCAGGGUGACUGCGUACCUUUUGUAUAAUGGGUCAGCGACUUAUAUUCUGUAGCAAGGUUAACCGAAUAGGGGAGCCGGAGGGAAACCGAGUCUUAACUGGGCGUUAAGUUGCAGGGUAUAGACCCGAAACCCGGUGAUCUAGCCAUGGGCAGGUUGAAGGUUGGGUAACACUAACUGGAGGACCGAACCGACUAAUGUUGAAAAAUUAGCGGAUGACUUGUGGCUGGGGGUGAAAGGCCAAUCAAACCGGGAGAUAGCUGGUUCUCCCCGAAAGCUAUUUAGGUAGCGCCUCGUGAAUUCAUCUCCGGGGGUAGAGCACUGUUUCGGCAAGGGGGUCAUCCCGACUUACCAACCCGAUGCAAACUGCGAAUACCGGAGAAUGUUAUCACGGGAGACACACGGCGGGUGCUAACGUCCGUCGUGAAGAGGGAAACAACCCAGACCGCCAGCUAAGGUCCCAAAGUCAUGGUUAAGUGGGAAACGAUGUGGGAAGGCCCAGACAGCCAGGAUGUUGGCUUAGAAGCAGCCAUCAUUUAAAGAAAGCGUAAUAGCUCACUGGUCGAGUCGGCCUGCGCGGAAGAUGUAACGGGGCUAAACCAUGCACCGAAGCUGCGGCAGCGACGCUGAUGCGUUGUUGGGUAGGGGAGCGUUCUGUAAGCCUGUGAAGGUGUGCUGUGAGGCAUGCUGGAGGUAUCAGAAGUGCGAAUGCUGACAUAAGUAACGAUAAAGCGGGUGAAAAGCCCGCUCGCCGGAAGACCAAGGGUUCCUGUCCAACGUUAAUCGGGGCAGGGUGAGUCGACCCCUAAGGCGAGGCCGAAAGGCGUAGUCGAUGGGAAACAGGUUAAUAUUCCUGUACUUGGUGUUACUGCGAAGGGGGGACGGAGAAGGCUAUGUUGGCCGGGCGACGGUUGUCCCGGUUUAAGCGUGUAGGCUGGUUUUCCAGGCAAAAUCCGGAGAAUCAAGGCUGAGGCGUGAUGACGAGGCACUACGGUGCUGAAGCAACAAAUGCCCUGCUUCCAGGAAAAGCCUCUAAGCAUCAGGUAACAUCAAAUCGUACCCCAAACCGACACAGGUGGUCAGGUAGAGAAUACCAAGGCGCUUGAGAGAACUCGGGUGAAGGAACUAGGCAAAAUGGUGCCGUAACUUCGGGAGAAGGCACGCUGAUAUGUAGGUGAAGCGACUUGCUCGUGGAGCUGAAAUCAGUCGAAGAUACCAGCUGGCUGCAACUGUUUAUUAAAAACACAGCACUGUGCAAACACGAAAGUGGACGUAUACGGUGUGACGCCUGCCCGGUGCCGGAAGGUUAAUUGAUGGGGUCAGCGCAAGCGAAGCUCUUGAUCGAAGCCCCGGUAAACGGCGGCCGUAACUAUAACGGUCCUAAGGUAGCGAAAUUCCUUGUCGGGUAAGUUCCGACCUGCACGAAUGGCGUAAUGAUGGCCAGGCUGUCUCCACCCGAGACUCAGUGAAAUUGAACUCGCUGUGAAGAUGCAGUGUACCCGCGGCAAGACGGAAAGACCCCGUGAACCUUUACUAUAGCUUGACACUGAACACUGGUCCUUGAUGUGUAGGAUAGGUGGGAGGCUUUGAAGUGUGGACGCCAGUCUGCAUGGAGCCGUCCUUGAAAUACCACCCUUUAAUGGCUGGUGUUCUAACGUUGGCCCCUUAUCGGGGUUGCGGACAGUGUCUGGUGGGUAGUUUGACUGGGGCGGUCUCCUCCUAAAGAGUAACGGAGGAGCACGAAGGUUGGCUAAUCCUGGUCGGACAUCAGGAGGUUAGUGCAAUGGCAUAAGCCAGCUUGACUGCGAGCGUGACGGCGCGAGCAGGUGCGAAAGCAGGUCAUAGUGAUCCGGUGGUUCUGAAUGGAAGGGCCAUCGCUCAACGGAUAAAAGGUACUCCGGGGAUAACAGGCUGAUACCGCCCAAGAGUUCAUAUCGACGGCGGUGUUUGGCACCUCGAUGUCGGCUCAUCACAUCCUGGGGCUGAAGUAGGUCCCAAGGGUAUGGCUGUUCGCCAUUUAAAGUGGUACGCGAGCUGGGUUUAGAACGUCGUGAGACAGUUCGGUCCCUAUCUGCCGUGGGCGCUGGAGAACUGAGGGGGGCUGCUCCUAGUACGAGAGGACCGGAGUGGACGCAUCACUGGUGUUCGGGUUGUCAUGCCAAUGGCACUGCCCGGUAGCUAAAUGCGGAAGAGAUAAGUGCUGAAAGCAUCUAAGCACGAAACUUGCCCCGAGAUGAGUUCUCCCUGAGACUUAGAGUCUCCUGAAGGAACGUUGAAGACGACGACGUUGAUAGGCCGGGUGUGUAAGCGCAGCGAUGCGUUGAGCUAACCGGUACUAAUGAACCGUGAGGCUUAACCUU